rnacentral:rRNA from 1 species
UACAGAGGUCCCGAGCGUUGUUCGGAUUCACUGGGCGUAAAGGGUGCGCAGGUGGUUUGGCAAGUUUGAUGUGUAAGCCCCGGGCUUAACCCGGGAAUGGCAUUGAAUACUGCUUGAACUGGAGGGUCGGAGGGGGGACUGGAAUUCUUGGUGUAGCAGUGAAAUGCGUAGAUAUCAAGAGGAACACCAGUGGCGAAGGCGAGUCCCUGGACGAUACCUGACACUGAGGCACGAAAGCCAAGGGAGCAAACAGG